AUCCCAUGGUGCGUACAUGCAGUGACAUACUCUUGCAUUCUCUCCCAAGCAUCUGGAAUUGAUUCCUCAACUUGUUGUGUAAAACUGGAGAUUUUAUUGUGAAGAGC
rnacentral:snoRNA from 1 species